GGGAAAGGAUGAGUGGUUCGGGGCAAAAACGUUAAUGGAAGACCUUGCUGAUAACACUGGCCUUCAGACGGCUUUCAACGCAUAUAAGAAAGUACUUGAAGAAGAAUGUGAAGGGAUAGACACUCGUCUAGCAGGUCUGGACAACUUGACCGGAUUGCAGCUGUUCUUCGUGUCGAAUGCUAGGACUAUGUGCAAAAUAGCAGACAACGAUACCCUCUUGCUAGGGAUAUUGAACGGACCACACAGC